CGACUUCGGCGGGACCCAGGUGAGAAAGGCCCACCUGUGUCCUGGUUGAGGGUCUCCAGGGUUCUUUGGGGCCCGAGGAUUCCUGAAAUUGUGGAUCACCCACCUAUGCUUUGAGACAUGCU
rnacentral:sRNA from 1 species